GCAAUGGUGGUUCAGUGGUAGAAUUCUCACCUUCCAUGUGGGAGAUCCUGGUUUGAUUCCCAGCCAGUGUA
rnacentral:tRNA from 1 species